UGGAUCACCUCCUAACAGGGAGACAACAAAAUGUUUAAUAUUAUUAUUUUGUCACCUUAGGUCGAUCGGUAUCUCACGUUCUUGAUUUAUUAAGAAUUUCAUUUCCUAAGUUUUUCUAGGUCACACCCAUUAUUUUUCCUGGGCCAUUAGCUCAGGUGGUUAGAGCGCACCCCUGAUAAGGGUGAGGUCCCUGGUUCAAGUCCAGGAUGGCCCAUAUCUCUAUGUUGGGGGUAUAGCUCAGUUGGUAGAGCGCCUGCUUUGCAAGCAGGAUGUCAGCGGUUCGAGUCCGCUUACCUCCACUGAUUACCACCUCUUCCAUAAUCGGUAGAAAGGAAAUGUUUUGAGUUGUGAUCAAAUUCUGAACGAAUCUAGCUUCCUAAUGUAAUUAUUAAGAUGCUGGACUCAUUGAAUUAAUUUCAUUGUUUUCAGAGAACCUUGACAACUGCAUAGAUUAUUUUUAAAGACAAUAAGCAUCUUUAAUGAUGCAGAUUUAUUAUUUUUGCUAAUGCAUUAAUAACAAUUCUAUUAAGCUGAUGCUUCAAUUUUGAAGUUAUUGGUCAAGCUACAAAGGGCUCACGGAGGAUACCUAGGCACACAGAGGCGAUGAAGG
rnacentral:tRNA from 1 species